AAUUAAAGACUCGGCAAUUUAGAACUAAACAUACCGGUACAUGUACUGUACACAUUCAUGUAUUAACUUAUGUAUUAAUUUAUACCAUAUGUUGACCUCUAAAUGUUAUUUUUGUUUGUUUUGUUUCGUUUGGUGGACUACUGUUUCAUUACAAUACUCCUUUAAAUCCAUCUAUUCACGUUUUAAUCACUUUUUAGAAUUUCACAUUAAUUCUUAAAAUUAAACUUUUAUUCGGGACAAUGAUUACAAUUGAAUAAAAUUUGGAGGCUCCUAAACAGUUUUAAAAUUCACAGUUUUUAUAGCUGACUAUGCGGUAU
rnacentral:lncRNA from 1 species